UACGUAGGGUGCGAGCGUUAAUCGGAAUUACUGGGCGUAAAGCGUGCGCAGGCGGCUUUGCAAGACAGAUGUGAAAUCCCCGGGCUUAACCUGGGAACUGCAUUUGUGACUGCAUGGCUGGAGUGCGGCAGAGGAGGAUGGAAUUCCGCGUGUAGCAGUGAAAUGCGUAGAUAUGCGGAGGAACACCGAUGGCGAAGGCAAUCCCCUGGGCCUGCACUGACGCUCAUGCACGAAAGCGUGGGGAGCAAACAGG
rnacentral:rRNA from 1 species